GAUUAAGGAAUUUUCUUUUAUUCUUUGGGAGAAGCGUCUCUCUCUCUCUCUCUCUGUCGCGGUGGAUUCUUAAAAUUUGAUAAAUCUUUUUCUUAUAGUUCUUUCUAUCUAUUAUCUUGUUUGUGUUAUGACUUUAUGAGUUGGAAUGCUUAUGAAUAACUGUUGAUUCCAAACAGAGACGGAUCUCUACCUAUUCUUCUCGCUUUGUUUAUUUUGCAGUAGCAACCUCUUCUUUCUAUCAGAUACUGCUUACUUUCACCAUAACGGCUUUAGGAUUAGCUGUGCUCCAUGUCACAAAGGACGAAAGGAGAUAUUCCUUUUAUCCAUUCCUUGUCAGGGAAGAUCUGAAGCAGCGUCAGCUGCACACGUCCUGUAAUGGAUGCAUACUCCUCUGGAGAAGAAGUGGUUGUUAAGGUCAGUUUAUUGCAGUACAUGGAAAUCUUUAACUUGUCAUGAUGCAGCUCUGAUUUUCUCUUGAAAGGAAAUUAAACGAUUUUAGUUUCAUUAACUAAUGAGAUAACUGGCAAUUGCAGACAAGAAAACCAUAUACAAUUACGAAGCAAAGAGAACGAUGGACAGAGGAGGAGCAUAAUCGGUUCCUAGAAGCCCUAAAGCUAUAUGGGCGAGCAUGGCAGCGGAUAGAAGGUAAUAUUUUACUCCCAACCGACGCCUAAUUUUUUAAUUUUUGUUUUUUGGCAUUUCACCUGAUGAAUAUGUUCAGUUUAGAUUGCCAAUUAAUCUCGAAAUAUAUCCGGACUCAAAAUUUUGAAAUUGAUGUCAGCUGCUGACUUUCUUUUUAGGAAAAAUAAAUAGAUCUUAACUGGAAACUCUUUUUUCUCCCGUCUUCUACCCGUUUUUCUUUUAUCGUGUUUUGAUUCUGUUGUGCAGAGCAUAUAGGAACAAAGACUGCUGUGCAAAUCAGGAGCCAUGCACAGAAAUUCUUUUCAAAGGUCAAUGGGUACCUUCUCAUCUCGGAUCAUAUGUUAGAAAUAUUGAUCCUUUUACAUGAAUAUAUGCUUUUUCUUGACUUGCUAUUGAUUUAUUUAGUAGUUUGGUACAUCAUUUAGUACACUUUAAUCAAUACAAUUCCUGUCCAUUGCCAUAAAAUAAUUCUGUAUCUAAACUGUUGCUUUCGAACUUGAAAGAUCUUACAUGAAAAUUAAGUAAAUCUGACAAAUUGACCAACUUUGUCAGGGAAAUUCAAAGCAAAAGUGAUUCUUUGAUGUUAAUGUUUUGUUCAGAAAGUUGUUAGCUCUUUUUUUUUUUUACCAAAGAUAGGAGACUCGAACCCGCAACCUCUUAAUUGAGUAUGGGGAGACAAUGCCAUUUGAGCUAUAACUCAUUGGCGAAAGUUGUUAGCUCUUUCUAAAGGCACUUGUGAGGAUGGUAUUGAAUUAUGGUUGAUGAUGCCUCCGGGGACCGUUAGAUGAAUUCCCUCAAUUCUCAUGCAUGAUCGCUCUUCCAAGCCUCCUCCUCCUCCUCUUCUUCUUCUUCUUCUCCUCCUUCUUCUUCGUCACCAUGACUUUGUUCCAAGGUACUUUACUGUUUGCUUUCUGUUUUCUCUUCUUCUUUCUUUAUAAUUUCUUUUUCCCCUCUUUUUGGUUUGGUUUCCGAGAAAAUAUAAUCUCCAGAAACUGAUAAUCGAUUUAUUCUUCGCCUUUUCGUUUUCCUCUCUUUGGUUAUGUUCACAAAAUAAAUUGCAGGAUUCGAAUACAUCAGGUACGCUGAGCUGAACUUUUCUGCUAGGAUAGUCUCUCGUUAAAUAUUCGCUACUACAAACAGCUGAACUUUCCUUUGCGAUUAGUUUUUCUCGGUAACCAAACAAGAGAAUGGAAAUUGUUAAUUAGUUUUUGUAGUGACAGAGAUAGUAUUAAUUAAGUGAUGUAAGAAGUCAGAAGCUAGAAGUGGUCUGAGAUAUUUACUAAUUAUAGUUGUUUCCACGUUUGGAAGGUUUCAGCGCUGUGGAGUUCGUUUUGGUGAGGAUUCUGAUUAAGGAAUUUUCUUUUAUUCUUUGGGAGAAGCGUCUCUCUCUCUCUCUCUCUGUCGCGGUGGAUUCUUAAAAUUUGAUAAAUCUUUUUCUUAUAGUUCUUUCUAUCUAUUAUCUUGUUUGUGUUAUGACUUUAUGAGUUGGAAUGCUUAUGAAUAACUGUUGAUUCCAAACAGAGACGGAUCUCUACCUAUUCUUCUCGCUUUGUUUAUUUUGCAGUAGCAACCUCUUCUUUCUAUCAGAUACUGCUUACUUUCACCAUAACGGCUUUAGGAUUAGCUGUGCUCCAUGUCACAAAGGACGAAAGGAGAUAUUCCUUUUAUCCAUUCCUUGUCAGGGAAGAUCUGAAG
rnacentral:lncRNA from 1 species